rnacentral:rRNA from 1 species
GACGAACGCUGGCGGCGUGCCUAAUACAUGCAAGUAGAACGCUGAAGGAGGAGCUUGCUCUUCUGGAUGAGUUGCGAACGGGUGAGUAACGCGUAGGUAACCUGCCUGGUAGCGGGGGAUAACUAUUGGAAACGAUAGCUAAUACCGCAUAACAGUAGAUGUUGCAUGACAUUUGCUUAAAAGGUGCAAUUGCAUCACUACCAGAUGGACCUGCGUUGUAUUAGCUAGUUGGUGGGGUAACGGGUCACCAAGGCGACGAUACAUAGCCGACCGGAGAGGGUGAUCGGCCACACUGGGACUGAGACACGGCCCAGACUCCUACGGGAGGCAGCAGUAGGGAAUCUUCGGCAAUGGACGGAAGUCUGACCGAGCAACGCCGCGUGAGUGAAGAAGGUUUUCGGAUCGUAAAGCUCUGUUGUAAGAGAAGAACGAGUGUGAGAGUGGAAAGUUCACACUGUGACGGUAUCUUACCAGAAAGGGACGGCUAACUACGUG